rnacentral:rRNA from 1 species
CAGGGAAUCUUCGGCAAUGGGGGCAACCCUGACCGAGCAACGCCGCGUGAGUGAAGAAGGUUUUCGGAUCGUAAAGCUCUGUUGUAAGAGAAGAACGAGUGUGAGAGUGGAAAGUUCACACUGUGACGGUAACUUACCAGAAAGGGACGGCUAACUACGUGCCAGCAGCCGCGGUAAUACGUAGGUCCCGAGCGUUAUCCGGAUUUAUUGGGCGUAAAGCGAGCGCAGGCGGUUAGAUAAGUCUGAAGUUAAAGGCUGUGGCUUAACCAUAGUGCGCUUUGGAAACUGUUUAACUUGAGUGCAGAAGGGGAGAGUGGAAUUCCAGGUGUAGCGGUGAAAUGCGUAGAUAUAUGGAGGAACACCGGUGGCGAAAGCGGCUCUCUGGUCUGUAACUGACGCUGAGGCUCGAAAGCGUGGGGAGCAAACAGGAUUAGAUACCCUGGUAGUCCACGCCGUAAACGAUGAGUGCUAGGUGUUGGGUCCUUUCCGGGACUCAGUGCCGCAGCUAACGCAUUAAGCACUCCGCCUGGGGAGUACGACCGCAAGGUUG